GUUAUUUGUAAAAAAAAAUUGAUAAUAUUCUCAAUUAACAUGGUUUCUAAAAAUUCUUGGAAUUUUUUUUCCUGAAUGCGUGUUUUAAGGCCUUUAAAAAAUAAAGUCAGAUUGACAAAGCUGACAGCUAAGUUUUACUUUUGAAAAAACAAAUUUUUUUUUUAACAAAAGAAAUAUUUGGGUUUUUUAUCCUUACUCUCUUUAAAAAUAAUGAAAUUUGUAAAUCUUGGUUGUCAUUCUGCCUUUCUGGGCCAGUUUUUUCCCCAGAAUUUAACUGAUAACAUUCACUGUUCUAUAAAUAUGAACUAACCUGGUUUCUCUAUUUUUCUGUACUAGAACUUCUUAACUGUCCAGUGUCAGCUUCCUCCAUGUAAGCAGCACACCUUUACCCUUAAAAACUGAGUCUUAAGUUGUCACAAACACUCAGUACAAAUCAUCUGCUUAGUACAGUUAUGUUUAGCACUUGGACAGCCUUUAGAAUUAAAGAGUGUUUAUUGGUCCCAGGGUCUCUUCAUGGUAGCAUUUUAGAUGUUAGUGUUACAACCUCUGAUAUGUCCAGCUAAGAGAUUUUUUUCUUUUACAGAGAGAGAUUUUUGGAGUCUAAAAAUAGUAAAUGAAUUCUAAAUUAUAUUCACAGAAUUGUUCAUUAGCAUUUUAAGUGUUCUAUCUUCUAGCUUUCAUAAGUUAAUUUAUUAAUUUCUUAUUUGGUAGUAAUAGGCCACAAUUCUUCAAUAUGUAAAUUCAGAAACACAAAAUAAUGAUGCAAGGAAGAAAGUUGUGUCAUCUUUCUACUCCCAAGUUUCAAUAGUUACUCAUAUGCAGAAGCAGAUUUUAAGAGUGUUUUAUGUUAAUUCUGAGGAUAUAGCGGGAAAAUAAAGUGUUUCUCCUAUUAUUUGUUCACAACAUAGAUCACUUCUGUGAUCCUAAAAUGUGUGCGAAAUUAUAGCUCUAAUCCAGUUCAGUUCUGACACUGUGUGAAGAUAAAAGCAAAAGUGAUAGACUGAGAACUCAGUUCCACCAGACUGCCCUUCACUUUAGAUGCCAGUCACAAGUCCAGGCCUCUAGAAGUUCUGACCAACUAGCUAUGAAUUGGAAUUCCUGGAACCCCUUCCUUAGACUUGAUCAUUUUUCAAAAAAUAACUCAUAGAGCUCAGAAAAAUACAUACACUCAUUAUAAAUGAUAUUUUAAAGGAUAGAAGUAAACAGCCAGCUGAAGGUAUACCUAGGGCAAUAUCUGGAUGGGCCUUGACUGCAGGAGCUUCUGUCCCCAUGGAGUUGGAGUGUACCAUCCUCAAGCACAGGUAGGAGUUCUUGCUUACCUUCCUAUAAGCCUCCAUGUGUUCAGCUGUUCAGAAGCUCUCAAUCUUAUCCUACGGAGGCUUUACUGAAACCUCUUUGUAUAUGAUUGAAGGGUGUAGAACUGUGGUUGGACAAAAAGGAUAUGGUAUGAUGUUAAUAGACUGAGUGGGGAAAUCCAGCAAAGCCUGUCUGUUCAGAUUCGUCUUGGCCUGUCUAUAGUAUUUCUUCCUCCUGGGUAUGAGGCAGGACUGAAAUGGGAGUCUUAUGAUCUGCUUACUAACCGACAAGGUAGGUGAGAGAAUUUUUUUAAUGGCCAUCUCCAAGACAGUUGUGGGGGAAGAUUACAGUAUAUUUUAUGACAUGCCUUGGGGAGGAAAUUCCAGUUUCUGUGGUCCUGACUUGGGGAAGAAAAGGAGCAGGAAUGUGCCAGUUACUAUCAUGAUGGGCUCUGGAAAUACACACUCAACAGGACAGACAUUCUCUGUCCUCAAAGGUGUUCCAUCACAGUGGGAUACAAAGGAGUGUAAAGCGAUAAAUGCUGUGAAGAAAACUAAAGCAGAUCAAGGGUGCAAAGAGUGACAGAAUUGGCUUAAGUUUUAAUUACUAGUAUAAGGGCCUCUUUACAAAAAUUAUGUUUAGUAGUUCAGAAUUUAAGUGUCCUAUUAGGUAAAGCUGGGUUCUAUUUGUGAGCUAACACCUUAAUGAUUUUUCAAAUCUAUUUCUAGUCAGAAUUGCUUAAGCAAGUGAGUUCUAAGGCCAUAUAGCAUACCUUAAAAACACUGCAGCAAAGCCCAUGUCUUUUCUCAAUGUUUUUAAUACACCACUGGUAAAGAAGCACACAAUUUUAUUUAAACCGGUUGGCCUGAGAUGGACCUGGCAGAGAAUUACCAGAGAUGGUAAAGUAGAGAUUUCUGAAGUUGAGUUUCAAAAGGACUUUAGAAGCCAUGUAUCUCAUUUUCAUAGCCAAAGAAGGAAUUACUCUAUGACACCAACUACUGGUAAGACUUCAAGUACAUCACCUGUAUUCUUUUUGUCUAUACUAUUCUUU
rnacentral:lncRNA from 1 species